CUCUAAGGAGACUGCCGGUGACAAACCCGGAGGAAGGUGGGGAUGACGUCAAGUCAUCAUGGCCCUUACGGCCUGGGCUACACACGUGCUACAAUGGUCGGUACAAAGGGUUGCCAAACCGCGAGGUGGAGCUAAUCCCAUAAAACCGAUCGUAGUCCGGAUCGCAGUCUGCAACUCGACUGCGUGAAGUCGGAAUCGCUAGUAAUCGUGAAUCAGAAUGUCACGGUGAAUACGUUCCCGGGCCUU
rnacentral:rRNA from 1 species